rnacentral:rRNA from 1 species
CCUCCUUUUUCCCGCUUUCCUCGGAAUUACUGGGCGUAAAGCGUGCGUAGGUGGUUCGUUAAGUCUGCCGUGAAAGCCCCGGGCUCAACCUGGGAAUGGCGGUGGAUACUGGCGGACUAGAGUGCGGUAGAGGGUGGUGGAAUUCCGCGUGUAGCAGUGAAAUGCGUAGAUAUGCGGAGGAUCACCGAUGGCGAAGGCAGCUCCCUGGACCUGUACUGACGCUCAUGCACGAAAGCGUGGGGAGCAAACAGGA